UUAUCUCUGUAGAGUCUGCAUAUCAAUAAGCGGAGGAAAAGAAACUAACUAGGAUUCCCUCAGUAACGGCGAGUGAAGCGGGAAGAGCUCAAAUUUGAAAUCUUCAAGGUUCUACCUUGACGAAUUGUAGUUUAAAGGAGUGUUUUCUGUUGGAGUUUUGGUAAAAGUUCUUUGGAAUAGGACAUCAUAGAGGGUGAGAAUCCCGUAUUUGACCAUUAUUUCCAGCUUUGUGAUACACUUUCAAAGAGUCGGAUUGUUUGGGAAUGCAGUCCAAAAUGGGUAGUAAAUUUCAUCUAAAGCUAAAUAUUGGCGAGAGACCGAUAGCGAACAAGUACCGUGAGGGAAAGAUGAAAAGAACUUUGAAAAGAGAGUUAAACAGUACGUGAAAUUGUCAAAAGGGAAGCGUUUGACACCAGUGUUGUUUUCUCGAAAAUCAAUUAAAAAAGGCAGGAUUUUGUGUUGUAUUGACUUUAUCAGCUUUCUGCACUCUUUUCUUGUCUUUUUUAAUGCACUUUUCGUUUAACAAGUCAACAUCAAUUUCUUUUGUUGUAAAAGGGUCAUUGGAAGGUGGCUUUCUUUUCGGAGAAAGUGUUUAUAGCCUUUGGCCUCUGCAAUCGGAGAGAUUGAGGUCUGCAGCGUAGAUCCUUCGGGGUUAGAUACAUUUGUGCUAAGUUAUAGCCUUUCAUAGACAACUUGUUGACUAUGAUCAGUCAUGUAGCCUUACUCGCUUAUGCUAUUUUACCUACGCUUAGGAUGUUGACGAUCAGCUGAGCGCG
rnacentral:rRNA from 1 species